UCCAGAGAGAAAGUCAGAAAAACCAGCGUCUGUAGCCAGAAGUCCCAUAAAGGUCAUACCUGGUCUCUCCUCAACAAAUGCUUUCACAGCUGCAUCGGUCACCUACAAUAUAAACAAAUAGAAACAAGAGCGGGCAGGAUUCCUGGCUGACCAAGCAGCUGACGAGCCACAUCCGAGGUAAACUGCUUAUCAUCACUGAUGUCCAGGUGCUGCAGAGCCACAGUACAUCCAACUGGCGUAUGACUCCCAGCAGCUGAGCCGUGCUCAUUUCCAGCCUCUUCAGCUGGUGUAGUGUUAGUGAGCGCAGACGCUCCUUCAGGCCCAGCAGAGGGGUGAGGUUGGUGAUCGAGGUGUUGGAGAUAUCGAGACUUUCCAGACGGGGCAGGGAGCACACGUCCACUAACCCAGAGUCAUAGAAGUCUACAUUGGCUAGAGAGAGUGAGCGGAGGCCCGGGAGGGAGCUGAAGCGAUACCGGAUUGGUUCUUCCAGAGAAAACAUGGUGAGACCUGUUAAGCUCAGACGCUGAAGGGACUCCUGUCGAGUUUUAACAAAGUAAACAAAACCAACAAGCUGUUAUUUUAUAUGAUGAUCGAGGGAGCGGUGCUCAGCCAACACACAAACAUACUUCCACUUUACCUGGCAGUAUUUAUUGGUAGCCAGUCCCUGUAGAAUAUCAUGGAUAGUGAGGUCUGCAUUGACUCUAGCAGCAUCCAGCUCCAACAGUCUGUGAGGACAGAUGGCUUUCUGGAAGGCCUCCGCAGAGAUACGUGCUGUACGGAUGCAGGCUCGUCUCAGACGCAGGUAUUCACAGUUACGAAAUACACCCACGGUGCUGUCAUUCAAUAGACCUGCAGAGUGACAACAUGUUAAUGUUCACUUUCCAUCUGUACCAUCUAAAAAAAGCUCUUUUAUUUUUCUUUAACUUUGAGGAGGGGGCACUUAAUCAUGGACAAACAGCACUAAGAGGAUUAGCUCUUUGUGGAAUUCUGGCUCUUGAUUAGAUAAUGAUAUGGGAUAGUGAAGAAGUUUCUCCUCAAUUUACUAUCAGACCCUUGAGACUGAAGCCGUUUCAGUCAUGAACUCCAAAUAAUGUCAAAACAACUGGGUGUGGACAUUUUCCAGAGUUCCUGGGUGUGGACAGUUCCAGCUGCCAUUCACGUCACAGAUUGUGUGGGUUCAGAAAUGACCAGCUCUAUGUGUUGUGGGAUUUUACCUUCAGUCGCCAUCUUGGCCAGCAGCUGGUCUGCUAGCUCUUGUGGGAAGUGUACAGCCUCUCUGAAGCACAGAGAACCAUCGGGGCGCUUGGCACAGAAACACUCGAAGUUUUGGCUCACAUAGGUCAGACAUAGGUCUGUCAGUGCCGCAGGGGAUGCCUCUUCCUGAAAAACAUUUAAUAACACAAGGCCAUUUAUUUUAACAGUUAAUACUUAGUCUGGAUAUGUAUAAAUACUUAAAUUAUUCCUAUUCAACAUGGAGCAAGCAAAUUUCACUUCUUUAACAGAGGUAAGUCAACACUGAAAUAAGACAUUUUGAAUUACAGAAUUUUGUAUUUUGACUUAUCAAAAAUAAAUGUCUGAAUUACAGAUAUCUCUGUCAAAGUUAGCAGUCACAUACAAUAUCUCACUGUUAUAUUGAUUAAUCAAAACUGAAGUCAAAAUGAUGUUGAUAUCUGUAGGUCAUCAGCUAGACAAAUCUGAAAUACAAUUAUCUGCAUCAUUUCAAUCUGUAAACAUUAUUAUUCAGUUUUAAUUAGGGAUGUAUAAUAUUGGACAUUUUGCUGGUAUCCGAUAUGCCAAUAAAUUGAUACUGAUAUAUAGCCUA